rnacentral:lncRNA from 1 species
GGCCUCUCAAAAGUGGCUCACAUGCUUCCUUGUCCUUUCACACAAAGUGAUCACUGCUCUUUUUUUUGUUUAGAGUCAGGGUCUUGCUCUGUUGCCCAGGCUGGAGUGCAGUGGUGCAAUCAUAGCUACCUGCAGCCUCCAAUUCCUGGGCUCAAGUGAUCUUCCUGCUUCAGCCUCCCAAGCAGAUGGCACUACAGGUACACACGACCAUACCUGGCUAAUUUUUAAAAAUAUUCUGUAGAGGCAGGGUCUUGCUAUCUUUCCCAGGCUGGAACAGUGAUCAUCUUGAAUACCUUUUCUCCCCUGUAGAAACUGUUAUUCCAUCUUUCCUUUUUUCUUUGUGCCUUGUGUGUUCUUUAAGUUGUAUGCAAAAAGUGUCUCUAUUUAAACAUUUUAAAAGUUAUUAUUUAUAGCUUAUAAAUAGGUAUAACAGCAGUAUAGGUAAAUUUUUCACAAACCAGUUAGUUUCUUAAGUAAAUGGUACUCAACAUGAUAGUUAAGGCACCAAAAAGGACCUCUGUAUUUGAGUGACUAAACCUACGCAAUAAAGAGCAGCAUUUUGUACUCAAAAUAAAUUUUGUAGAAAAGGAAACAUGCUGUGUCUUCUAAAGUAAGACAACAAACACACCCAGAAAGGGGGCCCACAGCAUUCCUUUCCUCUCUUUUUCCACCGUAAUUUCCUCCUCAUAUUGCUUUUCCUUUUGUUUACCUUACUCAGGUUCUCCUGUCCCAGCCCCUGGGCUUGCCAGUGAUGCCCAGAGGAUGAUGUGCCUGGUGGCUGAGCUCUUCCAGAACUAAAGACGUGCGGAUCCCUGAGUAUCCAUAACCAUCAAAGCAUGAAGUAAUGCCUUGUAAGUGGUGUCACCACACCUCCCAGAAGAAGGAUGGAUUCCUACCAGAAGCAGUCAAACAUAGUGCCGGAUCAUCUAAGUGAAACGGAUCCCCAUGGGUGCUGCUAUUGGGAUACCAAAGGUCUGAAGUUCAUCCAAUGCAAUAGCAGAAAUAAUUACAUCUGUGAGCAUGUGAGAAGAACCCUGAGUUAGUCCCAAGUGCAAAUCACCAUCUCCAACCAAUUCCUCCACCAAUUGAUGGAUGUUGGGGAGUGGGGUACAGCAACCCCUCCAAGUCCUUCCUCCCUCUAUAUAGCCCAGGAGACUCCCCUCCCACCAGCCUGGCCCCCAGAGUGCUGACUGGCAACAAUAUUCCAAGUUAAAAUAGUUUGCUAAAUAGUUAUACAAUUAGUUUACAAUUCAAAUAUAUCAGAGGAAAAGACAGGGAAAAAAAUUCUAAGAUACAUGAAUCCCAGACCAUUGCUCUCCAAAUAUUUUCAAGUGAUUCAUCUCCUUUAUUUAAAAAAUGAAUUAACCACCAGAUGGGACACUCAUACAUUCCUGAUGGUUGUAGGAAUCAGUAGACCCUGUAUGGAAAGCAAUAGGAUAAUAUUUCAUAGGAUCAAAUUAAAAUGUUCACAGCAUUGGUUCCAGGAAAUUGGCUUCUGGAGAAUUUAUACUCCAGAAACAAUUCAACAAAAGAACACAGCUCUGUGCAUGCAGAUGCUCAUUAGCCCAUCACCUAGAGUAAGGGAAAGUGGAGAUCCCAAUGAACAACAAUGAGAUGGGUUAGCGAACUGUGACCUAUCAGCCCAAUGGACAUUUAAGCAAUCACUGAAAAGUAGAAACAUGAAGAUAUUACACAACAUGGAAACUGUUUAUGGAGUAUAUUUAGGUAAAAAGGAAAAAAAGGCAGAACUGUAUAUCUGUGGUUGGAUAUACUUUUUUUUUUUUAAUAUUAAGCACCAACCAAAAGAAGAAAGGAGGAUAGAAAAAAUAAAAUGGAAGAUGUAGGGUGGGCAGAUUAGGGCUGCGUUUGUUGCUUGCUUUCAUGUUACCAUCAUAGCGUUUUUGCCACUUACAAAGGAGGAAAAAAAUCAAUUCUGUGCCAACCCAGACAACAGAGACCUGAGUGGGGGUUGGGAAGAGAGAUUUUUCAGCACAGAAUCAGACUCCUUCUCCAAAGAGCUGUGUGGCCUUCACCUGCAAGGCGACCUCUUCCACAAGCAGAGGCCAGGACAAAAAGAGGCACCUGUGAGCGACAAAGACGGUUUCCUUGGUUUCCCUCACGGCGCCAAGCGGAGUGGCCGCCUCCCACCACAGGGCCCCCUAAUGGGCGCUUUUGUCCUGCGGGGCAGAGGGACCUCAUUAGAAGGCGCUGGUGCUAAAGGGAAAUGCAUUUCCAGAACAGGAGGUUUCAUCAUUCCUAGCGUUAGCGACAGAAUGGUGACAGAAGCUCUGUGGACGUAUUUUCCAGCGUUCAGUUCACAUCAAGGAUGGGUAUGCACUGGCGGAAAAGGUCAGCUCGCAGAAUGAUCGCCCAUCCACACAGCGUUUGGAGGUCAGACGUUCCUGAUGACUGUGAAAAUGGGGAGGUGAGAAGAGGUCGUCAAAGGGAGCAGCCUUUUAAAGCCAGGUACAGGUUAAAGCCCUGAGGCCAGAGCCUUGCCCAGGCUCCUCUAGCGUGGAGAGCUCCCGCCUUACGGUACAGCUGGCACCUGCUGGUCCCCAGGGCCCUUCGCUGCGACUGCGGCAGACAACCUUGGCAAAGAUGCUGGGGACCGCCCGGGCUGGAAAACGUCGGCCUCUGGCGCUUGAGAAAGGCCAGGCGGACUCCUGCAAUACCCUCGGGUCGUGAGAAGAAGAGGCAAGGCGUUUGGUAAAUCGAAUUGAUUGAUGCCCAGAAGCAUUUGCGGGUUGCAGAGCUCACACUUUAAAGGGGGCCUGGGCACCCGGCUUGAGGGUCACCCGAACACACUACCCACGCGGCGAGGCGAGCGUGGGGAACAAUGGGCCCACCCGGGCCCCCACCCGGCGAACAAUGGCGGCGC